rnacentral:rRNA from 1 species
GACGAACUGUCCAAACGUUGUUCGGAAUCACUGGGCUUAAAGGGCGCGUAGGCGGUCGGCCAAGUCAGGGGUGAAAUCCUGCAGCUUAACUGUAGAAGUGCCUUUGAUACUGGUCGUCUCGAGGGAGGUAGGGGUGUGUGGAACUCACAGUGGAGCGGUGAAAUGCGCAGAUAUCAGGAGGAACACCGGUGGCGAAGGCGGGUCUCUGGGCCGAUACUGACGCUGAGGAGCGAAAGCGUGGGGAGCGAACAGG